rnacentral:rRNA from 1 species
AGAGUUUGAUCCUGGCUCAGGAUGAACGCUAGCUACAGGCUUAACACAUGCAAGUCGAGGGGCAGCAUGGACUCAGCUUUGCUGAGUUUGAUGGCGACCGGCGCACGGGUGAGUAACGCGUAUCCAACCUGCCCUUUACUCCGGGAUAGUCUCCUGAAAGGGAGUUUAAUACCGGAUGUGUUUGUUUUUCCGCAUGGGAGCGACAAAUAAAGAUUAAUUGGUAAAGGAUGGGGAUGCGUCCCAUUAGCUUGUUGGCGGGGUAACGGCCCACCAAGGCAACGAUGGGUAGGGGUUCUGAGAGGAAGGUCCCCCACAUUGGAACUGAGACACGGUCCAAACUCCUACGGGAGGCAGCAGUGAGGAAUAUUGGUCAAUGGGCGAGAGCCUGAACCAGCCAAGUAGCGUGAAGGACGACGGCCCUACGGGUUGUAAACUUCUUUUAUAAGGGAAUAAAGUUCGCCACGUGUGGUGUUUUGUAUGUACCUUAUGAAUAAGCAUCGGCUAAUUCCGUGCCAGCAGCCGCGGUAAUACGGAAGAUGCGAGCGUUAUCCGGAUUUAUUGGGUUUAAAGGGAGCGUAGGCGGGCUUUUAAGUCAGCGGUCAAAUGCCACGGCUCAACCGUGGCCAGCCGUUGAAACUGUAAGCCUUGAGUCUGCACAGGGCACAUGGAAUUCGUGGUGUAGCGGUGAAAUGCUUAGAUAUCACGAAGAACUCCGAUCGCGAAGGCAUUGUGCCGGGGCAGCACUGACGCUGAGGCUCGAAAGUGCGGGUAUCAAACAGGAUUAGAUACCCUGGUAGUCCGCACGGUAAACGAUGAAUGCUCGCUAUGGGCGAUAUAUUGUCCGUGGCCAAGCGAAAGCGUUAAGCAUUCCACCUGGGGAGUACGCCGGCAACGGUGAAACUCAAAGGAAUUGACGGGGGC